CAGCAGCCGCGGGAAUACGUAGGGUGCGAGCGUUAAUCGGAAUUACUGGGCGUAAAGCGUGCGCAGGCGGUUCGUUAAGACAGAUGUGAAAUCCCCGGGCUUAACCUGGGAACUGCAUUUGUGACUGGCGGGCUAGAGUAUGGCAGAGGGGGGUAGAAUUCCACGUGUAGCAGUGAAAUGCGUAGAUAUGCGGAGGAACACCGAUGGCGAAGGCAGCCCCCUGGGCCAAUACUGACGCUCAUGCACGAAAGCGUGGGGAGCAAACAGGAUUAGAUACCCGUGUAGUCCCUGUCUCUUAUAC
rnacentral:rRNA from 1 species